GAUUUCGUGGACUGUUCACGUGUUAAUCUCUGCGGUAAAACAGGAGAUUGAGGACAGUGUGAUAAAGGAAAGAACCCCUUGCCGAACUCAUAUAUUCAUUGUUGCCGGAAUACGUAACAGGAUGACGUCAGCUUUUCUGUCAAUGCAGAAGCAUCUCACCCACUUCCACGUAGCAAAUCAGUGGUCAGCACUUUACACCACUUAAUAUCUUUGAAUCCAAACCCCAGCUCCUGAAGGGAAAAAGGAAAAUAUGUGCGAAAGUCUGAGAUGCAUAUUCCCACAUAGCUGUCCAGAACACAGCAGGUAACCGUUUGAAUGAAGGUUCCCAGCCCGAGCUGUCGACUGGUUGCUGAG